AGAACUCACACACUCACCUUCAGUUUCCUCCACUAUGGCUGAGGAACUGUUGGAUAAGACUUCCAAGUAGACGUCUCUAGGGCCAAGUCCUGCAGCCUCUGGACCUCCACUUUUCACACAGGAAUUGCUGUUUACUUUCCCAGGGGAAGCAGCCUGGGACAGACUGUAGGGGUCAAGUCUGACUGUGCAGAAAUUUAGCCUGGGCACCAAUGUGGAAAAGAGUGGUGGGAAGCAAGGCUGAUGCCACCUCACGUUGCCUCCCUCCUUCCUUCUUCUGCUGCCCGCGGCAGACUCUGCAUCUCCUGUUGGAGCUUGGUUUCUGGACUGCCUCAGUGACCUCACCAGCCAGGAUCACGUCUGACUCCCAUUACCAGCAAAUGUCCCAGGAAGGACCUGAAGUAAUAGAGCCUUUUAAAGCUGACUCUUAGAAGCUCUUCCCAAGAUGGCACCCAGAACGGAAGUGCUGUCAUUUACCUGUCAGUUACUGCUCCAUCAACUGCCUCCAUGCUGUUUGCUGCCAAGGCAGCAACCCUUCCUGAGGCCAAGGGUCACAUUCUGGCAGGUCUGUCUUCCUUUCUCUGCUUACAAGGCAGGCAGAGAAGUUCUCAGUUCUUCAACAGACUGGAGUGCCUGUGAACUGACUGACACUGAGCAGCGUACACCUCGCCUGUGGCACAGCAAACCAGAAGUUGCCUCCUGAUCACACAUGUGAGUCGAAGGUGUUGUGAUGUGAACUUUCUCACCAAGCUGCUUUCCUGUGUUUGAGAAAAGCCUGAGGCCACUUCUGAUGGUCCCUUCUGCAGUCAUACUAUCCUGUCUUAUUAAGACAGAUAGACACCUCUUCUUAAGGAUCUGAAGUUCCAACUCCCGCAGCCAAUCCUGCCAUGCUGUCUAAAUUGUUCCUGCCUAUGUUUCUUUGGGAAUCACUUGAAAAGCCUGGAAAUGAGGUGGGAAAGGUUCUUCUUUAUCAUUAGAUAAAUAUGUAUGAGAGAAAGGGACAGAGACAAUCAUAAGAGAAAUUCUUUCAGGUCACUUCUCCUGUUCCGGAGUCCCGGGUGUCAAGUUAAAUUAUAAUGCAGGUAAUGCUGGAGUACGAUUUUUAAGAAGGUCGUCACAUUGCUUCAUGAACAUGGGUUCAAAAAACUGAGAGUUUAGCCAUAGCAAUGUCAGAACAUCUCCUGAAUUAAUUACCUGUGCAUCUGUUGUAUGGAAUGAAAUAAGACCCACUUUUCUGAUACGUAGGAUCAUUGGGUAAAUGAAGAGAGACAAUAUAUGUAAAAGCACUUGGAGAAAUUAAAAACACACUCCAGAAAUAAAACAUUGAUUAGCAGGGGCCUAUUCAAUCAAGAA